rnacentral:rRNA from 1 species
AUUGAACGCUGGCGGCAGGCCUAACACAUGCAAGUCGAACGAGUGGCGGACGGGUGAGUAAUGUCUGGGAAACUGCCCGAUGGAGGGGGAUAAGUACUGGAAACGGUAGCUAAUACCGCAUACCAUCGGAUGUGCCCAGAUGGGUUUAGCUAGUAGGUGGGGUAACGGCUCACCUAGGCGACGAUCCCUAGCUGGUCUGAGAGGAUGACCGGCUACAUUGGAACUGAGACACGGUCAAGCCUCCAACGGUAGGAGCCAGUGGGGAAUAUUGCACAAUGGGAGAAAGCCUAAUGCAGCCAUGCCGCGUGGAUGAAGAAGGCCUUCGGGUUGUAAAGUACUUUCAGCGAGGAGGCGUUACUCGCAGAAGAAGCACCGGCUAACUCCGUGCCAGCAGCCGCGGUAAUUC